AGUGAACGCUGGCGGUAGGCCUAACACAUGCAAGUCGAACGGCAGCACAGUAAGAGCUUGCUCUUACGGGUGGCGAGUGGCGGACGGGUGAGGAAUACAUCGGAAUUUACUUUUUCGUGGGGGAUAACGUAGGGAAACUUACGCUAAUACCGCAUACGACCUACGGGUGAAAGCAGGGGAUCUUCGGACCUUGCGCGAUUGAAUGAGCCGAUGUCGGAUUAGCUAGUUGGCGGGGUAAAGGCCCACCAAGGCGACGAUCCGUAGCUGGUCUGAGAGGAUGAUCAGCCACACUGGAACUGAGACACGGUCCAGACUCCUACGGGAGGCAGCAGUGGGGAAUAUUGGACAAUGGGCGCAAGCCUGAUCCAGCCAUACCGCGUGGGUGAAGAAGGCCUUCGGGUUGUAAAGCCCUUUUGUUGGGUAAGAAAAGCAGCAGGUUAAUACCCCGCUGUUCUGACGGUACCCAAAGAAUAAGCACCGGCUAACUUCGUG
rnacentral:rRNA from 1 species